GUGCUUGCUAUGGCAGCACAUAUACUAAAAUUGGAACCAUACAGAGAAGAUUAGCAUGGCCCCUGCAAAAAGAAAAAAAAAAAAAAACACCGGUUAUU
rnacentral:snRNA from 2 species